CCCCCCACCCCCACCUACUGGUCAGAGUCUCCCACUGCCGCGUUUCUAAUUUGCAGCACAGAGCCGACGACUGGUAGGCACAAGCUUCUCUCUAUCUCCCGAAACCCCGAUUGAAGCCCUAAUUUUCUCACUUUCGCCCAAUUCCAUCAAAUAUCUCCUGACCCAUGACCUCCGCGUCGAGCUCCGGCGACGAAACCUCCGACCCGAAGCCCAACCCGAUUACAAAGCCCCCGGAGGACCAAUUGGCCGCCCUCGCGUUAUCCGAGACCGAUAGCCAAGCAAACGGCGUCGCAUAUGAAUCGCCGCGCGGGAACAAUCACAAUGAGAUCGAGAACGAAGAGGACGUGGCGGCGCUGACCAAUUCGGCUCCGCCUGCUUCGGCUGAGGUGGUGGAAUCGAGCGGUGGUGGUAUUCUGUGGGCGAGGAGCAAUUCGGAGCUGGAGGCCGACGGGGCGGAGAGCCCUAGCAGCAGCGGCUAUGCCGGCGGCAGAGGGAGUAGUAGUGCCGGUAGUGAUGGUUCCGGGAUCGAUGAGAUUGCGGAAGGUAGUGAUGUUGAGGUUGUUGACGGUGUUUCGGAUUCACAAGCGCCGUGGGUGCCCGGAAAACGGCAUGUUGAUGAGGAUGAUGCUUCCAUAUCAUGGAGAAAAAGGAAGAAGCACUUUUUCAUACUAAGUAACUCUGGCAAACCAAUAUAUUCCAGACAUGGAGAUGAACACAAACUAGCAGGAUUUUCAGCAACAUUACAAGCCAUAAUUUCCUUUGUUGAGAAUGGUGGAGAUCGUGUCAAAUUGGUUAGGGCUGGGAAGCAUCAGGUGGUUUUUCUUGUCAAGGGACCAAUUUACCUGGUAUGCAUCAGCUGCACAGAAGAGCCUUAUGAGUCUUUAAGAAUGCAAUUGGAACUUAUAUAUGGUCAGAUGCUACUUAUUCUUACGAAGUCAGUAAAUAGAUGUUUUGAGAAGAAUCCGAAGUUUGAUAUGACACCUUUGCUGGGAGGAACAGAUAUUGUCUUCUCUUCCCUCAUCCAUUCUUUCAGUUGGAAUCCUGCCACAUUUCUUCAUGCAUAUACUUGUCUUCCCCUUGCUUAUGCGACAAGGCAAGCUGCAGGUGCCAUAUUGCAAGAUGUUGCUGAUUCAGGUGUUCUCUUUGCAAUAUUGAUGUGCAAACACAAGGUUAUCAGUCUUGUUGGUGCUCAGAAAGCGUCUCUUCAUCCUGAUGACAUGCUAUUGUUAUCCAACUUUGUUAUGGCAUCAGAAUCAUUUAGGACAUCUGAAUCUUUCUCACCAAUUUGCUUGCCAAGAUAUAAUGCCAUGGCAUUUUUGUAUGCUUAUGUCCAUUUUUUCGAUGCUGACACAUACUUGAUGUUGCUUACUACUAGUUCAGAAGCCUUCUAUCAUCUCAAAGAUUGCAGGAUUCGUAUUGAGAUGGUCCUUCUGAAGUCGAGUGUCCUCAGUGAGAUUCAGAGAUCCAUGCUAGAUGGUGGGAUGCGUGUUGAGGAGUUGCCUCUUGAUCCUUUACCUCGAUCUGGAUCUUUUUCUCCUCAUUUGAAUCAACACACACUUCCAACAGAUUCUCCCGACAGGUUCAGGGAACCAUAUGAUGGCGUAGGUGGCCCUGCUGGACUCUGGCAUUUUGUAUAUCGUAGUAUCUUUUUGGAUCAAUACGUAUCUUCUGAGUUCUCAGCACCAAUAAAUAGUCCUCGUCAGCAGAAAAGAUUAUAUAGAGCUUACCAGAAGCUUUACGCUUCCAUGCAUGAAAGAGGAAUUGGGCCCCACAAAACCCAGUUUAGAAGAGAUGAGAAUUAUGUUCUACUCUGCUGGGUCACCCAGGAUUUUGAGCUUUAUGCAGCAUUUGAUCCACUUGCAGACAAGGUGAAUUGCAAGAUGUGAGCCCCAGCCCCCCAGGGAGGGGGGAAUCCGGGCACAUUCUGGCUCUUCUAUCCAAAUUUCAUUUCCCUUUCGUCCACCUCACCAAACCAAGCAUAGCAUUAGGGAUGUGUUGGGGAGAAGUGUGGGAGAAAUGUGUUUCGCUUGUGAGGCUUAUCACUUGGGGAACCGUUGGGGGCAAUACAAGGCAUUGGCGAUAAAAACUUGCAACCGUGUUUGCCAGUGGGUAAAAGAUGUGGAAAACGAGAUUUUUUUGCUGGGUGCAAGCCCCUUUUCAUGGUGACACCCUGUUUAUAUUAUGUAACACAGCAUGUACCAUAGUUUUGCUUAUUUAAUAAGAUUCAAGCAGUCUUUUUUCUUUCUUCA